rnacentral:rRNA from 1 species
UGCGUAGGCGGCUUAUUAAGUCGGAUGUGAAAUCCCCGAGCUUAACUUGGGAAUUGCAUUCGAUACUGGUGAGCUAGAGUAUGGGAGAGGAUGGUAGAAUUCCAGGUGUAGCGGUGAAAUGCGUAGAGAUCUGGAGGAAUACCGAUGGCGAAGGCAGCCAUCUGGCCUAAUACUGACGCUGAGGUACGAAAGCAGUGGGGAGGCAAACA